UUUCCGGUUGAUCCUGCCGGAAGUCACCGCUAUUGGAAUUCGCUUAAGCCAUGCAAGUCUAAAGGACUUCGGUCCUUGGCGGACUGCUCAGUAACACGCGGAUAAUCUGCCCUCGGGAGGGGGAUAAGCUCGGGAAACUGAGUAUAAUACCCCAUAGGCGUAGGAUACUGGAAUGUUCUUACGCUGAAAGUUCCGACGCCCGAGGAUGAGUCUGUGGCCUAUCAGGCUGUAGUGAGUGUAACGGACUCACUAACCGACGACGGGUACGGGCCUUGAGAGAGGUCGCCCGGAGAUGGACUCUGAGACAUGAGUCCAGGCCCUACGGGGCGCAGCAGGCGCGAAAACUUCACAAUGUGGGCAACCACGAUGAGGGAAUUCCAAGUGCUCAUGCUUUGCAUGUGCUGUUUCUUAGCCUAAGUAGCUGGGAGAGUAAGGGCUGGGUAAGACGGGUGCCAGCCGCCGCGGUAAUACCCGCAGCCCGAGUGGUGAUCGGUUUUAUUGGGCCUAAAGCGUCCGUAGCCGGUCUGGUAAAUCUUUGGGUAAAUUGGGCAGCUUAACUGUCCG
rnacentral:rRNA from 1 species